GGAUAACAGGCUGAUACCGCCCAAGAGUUCAUAUCGACGGCGGUGUUUGGCACCUCGAUGUCGGCUCAUCACAUCCUGGGGCUGAAGUAGGUCCCAAGGGUAUGGCUGUUCGCCAUUUAAAGUGGUACGCGAGCUGGGUUUAGAACGUCGUGAGACAGUUCGGUCCCUAUCUGCCGUGGGCGCUGGAGAACUGAGGGGGGCUGCUCCUAGUACGAGAGGACCGGAGUGGACGCAUCACUGGUGUUCGGGUUGUCAUGCCAAUGGCACUGCCCGGUAGCUAAAUGCGGAAGAGAUAAGUGCUGAAAGCAUCUAAGCACGAAACUUGCCCCGA
rnacentral:rRNA from 1 species